rnacentral:rRNA from 1 species
AAUGAACGUUGGCGGCGUGGAUUAGGCAUGCGAGUCGUGCGAGAACCGUAGCAAUACGGGGAAAGCGGCGAAAGGGAGAGGAACACGUGGGUACCUACCCCCGCAUUCAGGAUAGCCAUGGGAAACUAUGGGUAAUACUGGAUGACGUCUCCGGACCCACGGGGUGAUUCCGGCCGGGGAGGGGCCCGCGUCCUAUUAGCUAGCUGGUGAGUUAAUGGCUCACCAAGGCGAAGAUGGGUAUGGGAUGUGAGAGCAUUAUCCCACUCAUUGGGACUGAGACACUGCCCAGACACCUACGGGUGGCUGCAGUCGAGAAUCUUCGGCAAUGGGGGCAACCCUGACCGAGCGACGCCGCGUGCGAGAUGAAGGCCUUCGGGUUGUAAAUCGCUGUCAGUGGGGAGGAAAUGUUGGUGGGUUCUCCCAUCAAUUUGACCUAUCCGCAGAGGAAGGACGGGCUAAGUUCGUGCCAGCCGCCGCGGUAACAC